UUAUAGCCUCUGGUUGUAUACACCGGUUGGGAUUGAGGAACUCAGCACGCCGCAAGGUCGGGUUUUUAACCACGUUCGUGCUUAGGAUGCUGGCAUAAUGGCUUUAAUCGACCCGUCUUGAAACACGGACCAAGGAGUCUAACAUGCCUGCGAGUGUUUGGGUGGAAAACCCGAGCGCGUAAUGAAAGUGAAAGUUGAGAUCCCUGUCGUGGGGAGCAUCGACGCCCGGACCAGACCUUCUGUGACGGAUCCGCGGUAGAGCAUGUAUGUUGGGACCCGAAAGAUGGUGAACUAUGCCUGAAUAGGGUGAAGCCAGAGGAAACUCUGGUGGAGGCUCGUAGCGAUUCUGACGUGCAAAUCGAUCGUCAAAUUUGGGUAUAGGGGCGAAAG
rnacentral:rRNA from 1 species